CCUAUCAGCUUGUUGGUGAGAUAAAAGCUCACCAAGGCAACGACGGGUAGCGGAUGUAAGAGCAUGGCCCGCCUCACUGGGACUGAGACACUGCCCAGACUCCUACGGGGGGCUGCAGUCAAGAAUCUUCCUCAAUGGCCUCAAGGCUGAAGGAGCGACGUCGCGUGCAGGAUGAAUCUCUUCGGAGUGUAAACUGCUUUUAUUAGGGACGAAGUUUUUACUGACGGUACCUAAUGAAUAAGGGGCUGCCAACCUCGUGCCAGCAGCAGCGGUAAUACGAGGGCCCCGAGCGUUAUCCGGAUUUAUUGGGCGUAAAGCGUCCGCAGGCGGUUUAGCACAUCUUCUGUUAAAUCUUUUGGCUCAACCAAAAGGCCGCAGAAGAGAUGGCUAAACUAGAGGCCGGGAAAGGCAAAUGGAAUUGCCGGUGUAGGGGUUAAAUCCGUUAAUAUCGGCAAGAACACUAAAUGCGAAAGCAAUUUGCUGGAACGGACCUGACGCUCAGGGACGAAAGCGUGGGGAGCGAAUGGGAUUAGAUACCCCAGUAGUCCACGCUGUAAACGUUGGAUGCUAAACAUUGGAAGUUAUCGACCCUUUCAGUGUUGUCAAUCUAAGGUAACCCGUUAAGCAUCCCGCCUGGGGAGUACG
rnacentral:rRNA from 1 species